GUGAGUAACACGUGGGAAAUCUGCCCUGCACUCUGGGACAAGCCUUGGAAACGAGGUCUAAUACCGGAUAUGACCUUCCUCCGCAUGGGGGUUGGUGGAAAGCUCCGGCGGUGCAGGAUGAUCCCGCGGCCUAUCAGCUUGUUGGUGGGGUAACGGCCCACCAAGGCGACGACGGGUAGCCGGCCUGAGAGGGCGACCGGCCACACUGGGACUGAGACACGGCCCAGACUCCUACGGGAGGCAGCAGUGGGGAAUAUUGCACAAUGGGCGAAAGCCUGAUGCAGCGACGCCGCGUGAGGGAUGACGGCCUUCGGGUUGUAAACCUCUUUCAGCAGGGAAGAAGCGCAAGUGACGGUACCUGCAGAAGAAGCACCGGCUAACUACGUGCCAGCAGCCGCGGUAAUACGUAGGGUGCGAGCGUUGUCCGGAAUUAUUGGGCGUAAAGAGCUCGUAGGCGGCCUGUCGCGUCGGAUGUGAAAGCCCGGGGCUUAACCCCGGGUCUGCAUUCGAUACGGGCAGGCUAGAGUGUGGUAGGGGAGAUCGGAAUUCCUGGUGUAGCGGUGAAAUGCGCAGAUAUCAGGAGGAACACCGGUGGCGAAGGCGGAUCUCUGGGCCAUUACUGACGCUGAGGAGCGAAAGCGUGGGGAGCGAACAGGAUUAGAUACCCUGGUAGUCCACGCCGUAAACGUUGGGAACUAGGUGUUGGCGACAUUCCACGUCGUCGGUGCCGCAGCUAACGCA
rnacentral:rRNA from 2 species